rnacentral:rRNA from 1 species
AUUGAACGCUAGCGGGAUGCUUUACACAUGCAAGUCGAACGGCAGCGCGGACUUCGGUCUGGCGGCGAGUGGCGAACGGGUGAGUAAUGUAUCGAAACGUGCCCAGUAGCGGGGGAUAACUACGCGAAAGCGUAGCUAAUACCGCAUACGCCCUACGGGGGAAAGCAGGGGAUCGUAAGACCUUGCACUAUUGGAGCGGCCGAUAUCGGAUUAGCUAGUUGGUGAGGUAACGGCUCACCAAGGCGACGAUCCGUAGCUGGUGUGAGAGGACGACCAGCCACACUGGGAGUGAGACGCGGCCGCGUUCCCUACGGUACGCAGCCGUUGUGGAUGUUUGACAAUGGCUGCAACCCUGAUCCAGCCAACCCGCGUGGGUGAUGAAGCCCUCCGGGGUGGAAAGUACUGUUGGCAGGAAAGAAGCGUCGCGUGCUAAUAGCCCGUGGAACUGACGGUACCUGGCGAAUAAGCACCGGCUAACUACGUG